AACAUAUAGUAUUGAAUAAGUAAUGGAAGUUUAAUACAUACCAGCUGGAACCUGCUUUCGCUGAAGCUGAAGCAUAUGAAUUUCCACCACCGCCACUACAAUAAUAUAAAAUCACAAGAUGUUAUUUCAAAUAUUUCGAAAAUGACAAAAAUAAUUUAGUUUAAAUGGAACCUCGUUCAGUUCAGUCAGGUUGAAUUUAAACUUCUUAGAAAAGUUAGAAGUUCUAAAGAACAAUAUAUUAAAAACGAAAAGUCAACUUUACAAAGUAGGAUUGUUGAAAGACGUCAUCCUGUCAUAUUUGGUGCUCUCUUAAAAGAGUUAAGUAUAGGACAUGGAAAAUGCUAUAGAGAUUAUGUCAGAAUUUUCGUAGAAAAGUUUGAAUAUUGGCUUAAUAUAAUUGAACACAAGUUUUAAAAUAAUUAUCUUGGUUUACCAUCAAUUAGAACAAAAGUAGAAACAACGUUACGCUCCUGUCAAGUCAAAGAAAGAAGGACAGUUAAGAGAUUUACGCAGUGUCUAUACCGGAUAUCGUGUUUAUAGCUUUUCAAAUAUUGAAACAGUCUCCUCCUUCGUGCCUUGAAAACUCUUAUCGAUGUAUACAAAUGUACUCAAGUAGAAAUAGUUCGCAGAAAAUUGUGAAAUGAAGUUCUAAUUAAACGUAUGCAUACCCAAUAAAGUCAUUUGUUUUUCGAAAACUCAUUUGUCAAAGUUUUAUGCUAGAAUUUUUUUCUAUUUAUUAUUCAGUGCAGAAAUAUUCCUCUUUCAUUUCUAUCUACUAAUGAUGAUGGUGUAUCUUGCAUAAAAUAUUAAUCUUCAGAUGCAAUUUCUCUGCACUACAAUUUUUAUUGUUCUUCGUUACUUUUUAGUGUUCUAUUAUUUUCUGAUUUAUUUAAAAUAUACAGGUUGUUCCAAAGUUUAAUAAUCGAACAGAAAAUGUUAUGUAAACAUAAAUCAUUUGAAGCUUCUUCAAAAAAUUAUAGUAAAAAUACAUAAUGUGAGAAAAAUAAUUGGAUUUUUAUGUAACUUGCAUAACUUUACACAAGAAUAAUAAAACAAACAAAUCUUCAUGAGUGUGGUGAACGGUUCAUUGAGAAGAAAUAAAUUCAAGUUGAUGCUGUCAGUUUUGUAUCGAUAGGAACAGUCAAUAUUUUGAAAUGCAAUGUUAGCAGUCAAUGACCAUGUUGAUUGUAAACCUAUUCUUAUUUAUAGCAUAGUAACUGUAACGUGUUCUUAUUAUUCCCUUUCGUAUCGCUAUUACAAGGCUGUAAAUGACUUAUAUAUUUUUGUUAUGUUAUAUCCAUAAAAUACUAUGAUAAAGUUUGGCAGUUAAACCCUGAAACAUCCUAUAUAAAAACCUAAUCUAAAGUAUAAUUUGGAAAGCCUAUUUCAAUAACUUCGGUAUAAAAUCGUUUUUACCAAUAAAAAAAGAUAGCAGUAUCAAAUGAGCAGUCGAUGGCAGUUAACAACAAUACGAAUGAGAUAAGCAAAAAUAAUAGUAUAACGAAAAAUUCAAUGAGUUGCAAGUAAAUUUGAUAAAUACUUAUUAUGAAAUUUCUUCUUCUCUGUUUCUUAUUUGUUGAUACUCUUAGAUACUACAAUA